GCGGAUGUAGCCCAGUGGAUCAAGG
rnacentral:tRNA from 1 species